rnacentral:rRNA from 1 species
GAUGAACGCUGGCGGCGUGCCUAAUACAUGCAAGUCGAGCGAAUGGAUUAAGAGCUUGCUCUUAUGAAGUUAGCGGCGGACGGGUGAGUAACACGUGGGUAACCUGCCCAUAAGACUGGGAUAACUCCGGGAAACCGGGGCUAAUACCGGAUAACAUUUUGAACCGCAUGGUUCGAAAUUGAAAGGCGGCUUCGGCUGUCACUUAUGGAUGGACCCGCGUCGCAUUAGCUAGUUGGUGAGGUAACGGCUCACCAAGGCAACGAUGCGUAGCCGACCUGAGAGGGUGAUCGGCCACACUGGGACUGAGACACGGCCCAGACUCCUACGGGAGGCAGCAGUAGGGAAUCUUCCGCAAUGGACGAAAGUCUGACGGAGCAACGCCGCGUGAGUGAUGAAGGCUUUCGGGUCGUAAAACUCUGUUGUUAGGGAAGAACAAGUGCUAGUUGAAUAAGCUGGCACCUUGGCGGUACCUAACCAGAAAGCCACGGCUAACUACGUGACAGCCGCCGCGGUAA